GAUAAAAAAUUAGCACAGAUGGGAGUUGAGAAGCAUCUCGAGCCCCCAAAGAAUGGAUUACUGGUUCCUGACCUUGUUCCAGUAGCUUAUCAAACUCUGGAAUCAUGGAAAGUUUUGAUUCAAGGACUUGCUCAAGUUUUGACUGUGGUUCCAGUCUAUGUAUGUAGAGAAUGCCCAGAAGUCCAUGUUGGCUCCACCGGCCAUUCAAUACAAGAUUGCAGCGGUCCUCAAAAUGUUAAACGAAGAAGUCAGCAUGUUUGGAUUCACGGAACCAUCAAUGAUGUCCUCAUCCCUAUCGAAUCCUAUCACUUAUUCGAUCCAUUUGGGCAUCGCAUCAAACACGAAACUCGCUUCAAUUAUGAGCGAAUACCUGCAGUUGUGGAGCUCUGCAUUCAAGCCGGUGUUGAGUUGCCUCAAUACCCUUCCAGAAGACGUUCCGCUCCAGUCAGAAUGCUUGGCAAGAAGAUGAUUGACCGUGGUGGAUUUGUGGAGGAGCCGAAGCCAUGCAGAUCUCAAGAAAUAAUGACCCUGCUUUCUGAGAUUGAUACGUAUGCAGUCCUUAAUAGUCAAUUAAUCUCACCACCCGCUGACACCAGAAAGGCUGCAGAAAGGACUUUGAAGGCUUACAGCACAGUGAGGAGUGGUGUAAGGCAGCUGAUGAGGAAGUAUACCGUAAAGGCAUGCGGGUAUUGCUCGGAGGUCCAUGUUGGACCAUGGGGUCAUAAUGCAAAGCUUUGUGGGGCCUUUAAACACCAGUGGAGGGAUGGGAAGCAUGGGUGGCAGGAUGCAACCAUUGAUGAGGUGAUGCCACCAAACUUUGUAUGGCAUAUGAAGGAUCCCAAGGGGGCACCGCCAACUGGUGCUCUCAAGAGGUUCUAUGGGAAGGCUCCAGCUGUGGUAGAGGUUUGUGUGCAGGCUGGUGCAGAGAUACCUGAUGCUUAUAGGCCUAUGAUGAGACUGGAUAUAGUUGUUCCAGAUACUGAAGAAGCAAGGUUGGUGGCAUAAGGCUGAAGUUCUUAAUAAUUUGUCGAAGUGUGGUAUUUUCGCAGCAGAAUGGAGGUCCUCCCUUGCUUACGGUGCAGCUUCAGCAACACAUACGAUUAUGUAGAUCUUGUAGGCAUGUAUGGUUACUUCCGUUGAAGUUGGUUGAUCCGAUCUAAUUCGAGAGGUUUUUUCUAAGUAGGCUUUGGCCAUGUUGUUUGGUUCAGACAUUAUCUUUAUCGUGCUUGUUUCAACAAUUAGAUGAUUGAAACACAAUUGAGUCAGUCCCUUGACACUUGGUAAUCUUAUAAUAUUUUUUUUAUAUUGUCUGAUGAUGU